AAUGAGCAAUUGGAUGAGAAGGGCCUCAGUGAGCAGACAUCACAGUCAAGCUCAAAGAGGCCAGGAAGUAGAACAAAGAGCAGAAACAUUUACAGAAGUGCUCCGGUGUAAGGGGAGGGAGCUCGCAACUCCAACAAGCAUUUUAGGAUCCACCAUGUCUGUCUUCUGAGAUGUAAACAUUGCAACUUCCUUGAGUCUAAAGAAAACUUUCAUCUCCUCUGUCUGAUGCAAGGAAUUAAGACACACCCUCAUGAAGGGAUGGAGCAUGUUUGUUGAGAGGCCAAAGAAGGCGCUCAAGCUGGGCCAGACCUGAAGAAGAGACCACGGACCGUGAAGCAGCAUGCUGUUUAUAGGCUUGCCCCCCUAGAUUUCUAAGCCUGCUUUCUUGUAUAAGCCAGGACUACCUGCCCAGGGGUGACACUGCCCACAGUGGGUUGGGUCUCACACGUUAAUCAUUAAUCAAGAAAAUGCCCCAUAGGCAAUCUGAUAUAUUUCCUCAGUUGAGGUUUCUCUAUGUGUCAAGUUGACAAAAAUCUAACCGGGACAGCAUGUAUUCACAUAUGGCCUAUGCACACCCUACUGUGUACUUUAGACUACUUCUAAUACAAGGCAAACACUGUAGAAAUAGUUAUUGUUCUGUAUUGUUUAUGGAAUAACUGAGA